GGUUUCCUUGGCUUGAUUCAUUGACGGAAGCCUAAGAGGAAGCUUAGCUUGUGGGAAGCAAGGAGAAGAACCGGAAUGCGAAGCGUAGCUCUAUCUCUAAAAAAGCUACUUAUCUCUAUCUAAGCUUAGCUUACGACUUACUUAGCAACCUAUACUAAGCUCUAAGCGAAGCUGCUUUGCUUAGCUUACUUAGCUUACCUGACGGCUUAGUCAGUCCUGAGCUAUGCUUAGUAAGGUCAGUCAGCCUAGUAAGUUAGUCAGGUAAGGGAAGGAGAAUAGGGCUCACCUAUUGUAUGGUAUGUAAGGCUCGCAGGCCUUGUAGCGAGGAAGGAAGACCGAGAUGUAGCCUGUGCGGAGCAAGCCUACACAGGCGAAGAGAGCCAAGGAACUUCGAUCUUUCAUCUCUUCAGUUUGAAGCUUCCCCAAUGAAUCACUAGAUAGGUAAGAUACCUGAAUCUCCUUUGAAAGAAAGAAGAGAUUGAUUCAUGACCGGAUGGCGGUAGAAUAU
rnacentral:lncRNA from 1 species